ACUGCAAAUGGAAAACGUGUUAACUGCAAAUUGAAUGUCGCCUAACAGGUGUCCGGUGUGAGGGAGGAGCAUGUUGUCUUCCUCUUUUGUCCAAAAUCUCAAAUCCCUGCUGGGCACGGAAGAGAACAAGCCCAUAAAACUACUUCGGACUAUCAGCCAGCGCACGACGACGACCGCACGAUCUGGUUAAGGCCGUCGCCGUCACGUGGGAGGUUGCAAAGACAAAAGAAAGACCAAAUUACACGAAAAGGGGCCAACCUCCAUCCCCAUGGCAAACCUUCAUCCUUUCUACCCUGAGCUCAAUGCUGAAAAACAAAAAGGUUGCCACGCAAAACCUCCACCGGCCUCGGGAUGCCACCCGCAGCGUCAAAUCAGUCAUGAAACGGCCAAUCAAUCUCGACGCUCUUGUGGAUGUGCCGAGCCUCACGCUUUGAUGCAAUGACGUUUUUUUUGGUGGGCCACUUGCAUACUAGAAAACUACGGUUCUUUCUCUGACUUUUCAAAUUCCUCCUCCAAUGGCAAUUUCACAUAUCAUUACCGCUUCAUUAAAAAAACUUAACAGCCCAAAUAAAACUUAAGGUGCCGAGCAGUUACAGCACAGUAGAUCAACAGAAUUGCUUUUUUUUUCUUUUUCUUUCCCCCCUUGUCCUGAACCCGAACAUUUUGGUUGCUGGACUAAAAGUUGAAAACGACGCCAAAACAAGACGAUAACAAUUAUAUAACGUGCGCAGUAUUUCCAUAAGUUGAAAAACAUACUUGACGUUGAAAUCGGUCAGUGGCAGUAAGCGGUUGCAUUUCGGUCGACGAAUAUAAACGUCCACGGCGGCGCUCGUUUGACUCAUCACCACCUGACGGACGGAGGGAGGGAGGGAGGCGCUGUUGCUCGACUCGACAAUCGCUGUUCCACCAAAACUAGGGGGUUCAA